AGCGCCGCCGCCCUCUCCCCGGACCCACAGACGGAGGGACGGGACAGACACACGCCGGGAUGUGUUGGCCCAACGCCGUCCCGCUGUCCCAGUCAGCGUCCCCUCACCUGCGGCGCGGCCCCGGGGAGAAGGAAUUUCUAGGACUUCGACAUAGGAAUUUACUUCAACCUUUACUGAGGGCAGUAGGCACCUUUUGAAUUAACCUUGAAAACAGAUGGAUUAAAUCCUGCAUCAUCAUCAUCUCUUACCCUUGAAAAGCCCGAAACAUCAUGUUCCUCAAUGACGAGACUGCUGUAUAUACGUGAAGAACACUGGGGGCAUAGGUAUCCUGGCUUUUCCACAAGCAGCAAGAACAAUAUGAGGUUUGAAAAGGGGAAAAGGAAGAGAGAAGACGUAAGAGAAAGAUAAAUCUAAAACAAGCUAUACACUGAAAUUAACUGGAGGAUCCUUUCAACCUAGAAAAUCUCCUAGAAAUUGAUAGAGGCCUACGGAUAGAUAUCCCGUAGGGAGUAAGGAAAGCCUGUGUGUGUGAGACUCUGUGUUCCACAUUGUUAUAAAGAAUCCACAUGGCAAAUCCUCUUUUCCUCCUUAUUUUCUGCUUCUUCACCCGUAGAAUUUAUUCACAGCAUCUCUAUCUGGAUGUGAAAUCCAAGACAGUGACAUUGUGAAAACGUCAGAACAAUGGUAAAGUUGGCUUGUUUCAUCCGCUGCCUUGGAAACCCGCACACGUUUCGUUUUCCGCUAAGUGUAAAACACACAGAUGCUUGAUACUUAAAUGGUUAUUGAAAUUCCUAUAAAUACUCAAGGUAACAAAUUGAGUCAU